GAAGUAGUUUAGAUCCUGGACUCAGGAUAACGCUGGCGGCGACACAUAAGACAUAGCAAGUCGAACCGGAUUAACCGAAUAGUUUACAUUUUGGAGCGGUUAGUGGCGGACUGGUGAGUAACACGUAAGCAACCUGCCUAUUUAGAGGGGAAUAACAGUGAGAAAUCAUUGCUAAUACCGCAUAUGCCAUAAUCACCACAUGGUGAUAGUGGGAAAGGAGCAAUCCGCUAAUAGAUGGGCUUGCGUCUGAUUAGAUAGUUGGUGGGGUAACGGCCUACCAAGUCGACGAUCAGUAGCCGGACUGAGAGGUUGAACGGCCACAUUGGGACUGAGAUACGGCCCAGGACUCCUACGGGAGGCAGCAGUCGGGAAUAUUGCACAAUGGAGGAAACUCUGAUGCAGUGACGCCGCGUGCAGGAAGAAGGUUUUCGGAUUGUUAAACUGCUUUAGAUAGGGAAGAUAAAAGACUGUACCUAUAGAAUAAGCUCCGGCUAACUACGUG
rnacentral:rRNA from 1 species